ensembl:snoRNA
AGCAGCCGUGUCAAAUUCAGGGCCCGCCCGUCCGUGGCAGGUGCCGGCCCGAAAGGCUGCCACAGAAACACCGAGGCUCAUGGGCUCUGAUCCUCUGUGCUGGGCCUCAGGGAUAAAUUCGGUCACAGACACCA